CGCGCAGGCGGCUCUUUAAGUCAGGCGUGAAAGCCCGGGGCUCAACCCCGGAAGUGCGUUUGAAACUAGAGAGCUCGAGUACGGGAGAGGGAAGUGGAAUUCCUGGUGUAGAGGUGAAAUUCGUAGAUAUCAGGAGGAACACCGGUGGCGAAGGCGACUUCCUGGACCGAUGCUGACGCUGAGGCGCGAAAGCGUGGGGAGCAAACA
rnacentral:rRNA from 1 species